AGAAGGAAGUGCAGAUGGUGAAUGAAAUGGCCAACAAAGGGCAAUAUGAAAGAAUGGAAGACUCAGAUCCUGCUGAGUGUGUGUAAGGCCACCAGGCUAUGCCGGUGCCAACGAGGGGGCUGUGCAGCUCAGUCCAUAUCCAAGGUGCCAGUGGCAGCUGUGCAGAGACACCAGCUCUGCAUGUGCUGCUGAGGAAACCUGGGACCUGUGAGGGACUCUCUGCACACCUGCUCAGAGGCCACUGUCACACCAGUGCAGCUCCCUGGUGUUGGAGAAGGUAUUAGGGGCUGAAAACUGAUGUUGCAGCAAGCCCUGAAAGCAUAGCUAUACUCGGGUCCUGAGAAUGACAAGUUCAGAUGUGGACAACUCCUGUGUAAAUACCAGGGUGAAGCCUGUCAAAGUCCACACCAGUUCGGCUGGAUUGUUAAGCUUAUCAGAGUUUGAGUUGAUGGGCAUGCAGGGAAAGAUAGACAGGGUUUAGGCACCCGCUUGUGCAUUUACCCCAACUGAAAUGCCUAAAGCACAUGUCUAGAGCAUGUGGCUGAGAAGGUUUUACGACUGGAUUUCCUGAGCUGUUGUGUUAAAUGGCAAGUUUGAGGCUACAUAUUUUCUACAAUAAUUAAGGGAGACAUAAUCCAUUGUAAGUUAAGAAACC